GGAACAUGGAAGAAUAUGUGGACUAUUUUGGGGAUCAUAUGUAGAAGAGGCAUACAUCUGUGAUUCUUAAUGAUUUACUAGAAAUAGUGAAAUGAAGGAAAAGACACGCACAAUAUAAACACAUUCUAAAAAUUCUAGAUUCAAUAGACGUAAAACUACUUUGUCAAAUUGUGAUAAAAGUUUUUAAAUUCUUACUAUCAAUUUCUACCUUUACGUCAUUGUGGACCAUCAAGAAACAAUUCAUGAAUGAGCAGUGUACCCCAGACCACACUUUGAGUAGUAUUGGCAUAUACUACUUUGGCCCAUUUUCCAUUGUGACAUCAUCUCAACCUAACUGCUAGAGAGAUUGGGAAAUGUUGUUUUCUUUUGUGCUCAGAAAAAGGAAAUAGAUUGGUGGGCUUCUAGUCCAUCUCUGCCACAGCUCUGCAAUGAAUUUAAAUUGAACUUAUUGCAUGCAUUGCUUAAUGUCCUUUGUGGUUAAACUAUUUCCUAAAUGGUACAACCUGAAUAUCUUAGUGUGACAAAUUUACUCACGAAAGGUCCCUCUAUCAUCAGGUUGGAGGAAGUCUUGACAAGGAAGUUGGCAAGACUGGAACUCUCAGAGAUGACCACAGGAUGGAGAAUGUCAGGGGUAGUGCAGCGUGGUGCAAGAAGCUCCAGGUCUGGGGCCAGUUGGACAGGGUUUGAUUCCAACUCUGGCACCUGUCAGUGGAGCAGCCUCAGUGAUGCCUCUCAUCUUCACGUUCUUUGCUUGAUAGAACAACAUGGCUGUCCAAGCACCAGACUUCAUGGGAAAGGAGAGGAGAGCUCAGGGAGCUUCCUUUCUGACUAUUCCGUGAAGGAUUUUAUUCUCUGGAAAAAAUAUUCUUCUCUAAACAUCCUCAGGGUGCUGCUCAUCAAUGGAAUACUCAGAUGACCACUGCUGAGCACCUGGAGCAUUAAAUAAUAUCAGAAAUGGCCAGAACAAUAGAAAUGAAGUCAAUGAAGUCUCUCAUGGAAACCAAAAGUGUCUGUAGUUUAAACACUGAGUUUUGCAAUACAACGCUCUGUGAUGACGACAACAAAGAAGGAGGAAGAGGAGGUGCAUACAAAUUAAUGUGACAGUUAAUACAAGAGCCGCAAUGCAAUUAUUUCUGGAUAUCACUGGACAAUGGUUUCUCUGAGUGAAUACAAGUGGGAGAAAGGUGAUAGAGGAAUAGUCAAGGAGUCAAGAAGUUUGCCUCUGAAAUCACAUCAAGGGUCUGGUGCAAAAGAAGAACCUUUAAAACUACUGGCUCAGCAGCUGGAAUUGAAGGAGUCUUCUAGGCAGCAAAAGGAGAUCAUUCUAUGUCAUUACACCAAGAUCAAGAGUUUGGUGAAGUGAGGUUGUACAGCAUUUGAAAUUCAAAAGGAAGGUGUUACCUGCUAUCUUGCAUAAAUCUCUAACAAUUGCAAAUGGAAUAUAUUAUCGUCAGAUCCGAUUGCUUAUAUCCAAUCUUGCCUCAUCCCAGCAUUUGUAAAGGAGCAAAGAAGAUAAUCCCCUGGCUUCUGAGAGCUCACAUAUCAGCCAACAGAUUAAAUAUGAGAAUUGUAUUACCUGAAUGAGGACAGAAGGGCAAUGGACAAUCUCUAACAGAAAUGAAACACUUAAAUUAAGGAAAUGAAGUUCCUGUGGGAGGAUGUCAGUCACUACCAGCUGGCCAAGGACAGAUUUUAAACAAACUUUGGAAAUUUGGAAAUAAUAUGAGCAAUUUACUUUGGAGAGAAAAUUUGAGACAAUGGACACCGCCAAUUGUCCCAACCAGCCAGGUUUGGAUAAUCACAGAAUUCAAGAAUUCACAUAUAUGAUCUGGAGCCCAGUUGCUGAGUUGCUUUCCACAGGUAUUUUGUCAAUAAGAAAACAUUGCAAAUAUGACCAAUGAGUGGAGAAAGAAUCACUAACACACUUAAGGGAGAGAAUACGUGGAAAUAAACCCUAUAGAAAUCCAGAACAUGAAGGCCUUUAAGUGACUUCAGGGAGGAGGGAUGACCAAGGACCGAUUUUUACUGACCAACUGUCAAUUUGUAAUACUCCUUAAAAAACAGGCAAAACCAAAGCUAUAGCACAGAGUAGAAAUGAUUUGAUGAUGUAAUGCUUUUGCAUCUGAGCUUUUAAAGCUCUUAGAAAUCUUUUUAAGAAGAUUGAAGACUUCAAACAAAAGCCAGGCAGCCUCCGGAAUGGCCAAUUCUAAGUGGAAGACUAGAGUCCAGUCAUUCUCCAGGGAAAGGAACCUGAUUCCUCGGUGAGCCAGGCGCUGCUCUGCUUGGUCACUCUCAGAACAGAAGUCCAGGAGCAGCUCCAAGGCUUUCCUCAGGAUCUGGCCAUCAGGCCUCUCCCGAAUGAGUCCACCUCUCCCUCUGGAUCCCCAGAAAGAUGAUUAAAUGAGUCAUAAUUUAAGAAAGAAAAGGCUGGCAACUGGGACCUCAGCUUGAGGUCACGACUGUGUAUAAAGAAUGUGAGGAAAAGAAUCCAUCAUUCCAUUGAUUUCUUACAUCUUUCCCGUGGACUAGCAAUUUAAUGAAAAAUAGCCAAUUGUCCUGAAGGUGUUGCUCUUGGAAGGUGCCUGCAUACCAGGAAAGCCAUGAAUGCCGCAGGGACCUCAAGCAGACAAGACCCUGAAGGCAGGAGGUGCAAGAGAGCUGAGAAUCAUGCAGACUUCAGCGUUCCCACGUGCUCCCCAUCCCAGGGGAGAGAAAAAUUAAAAAAAAAAAAAAUUUCUUGACCUGGAGCUCCCUCUCUAGCUCUCCCUAGUAUCUUGCCAAUCCUUCCCACACUAAUUUCUUGAAAAGUCUUUCUGCUCUCUGUCCAUUCACUGCUCAGUGCACUUUACCGGAAGCGUUCAAAUCAGCUUACCAAUGACCUCCACAUUGCUAAAGCCAGUGAAGUUUUAAAAUUUCUUAUCUGACUGGACCUUUUUGUCUUACUUGGUAUUAUUCUUUCCUCCUUUUAAUGAUAAUAAUAAUAGAAUAAUAGCUAAUAUUACUGAGUAUUAAGUAUUUGCCACACAUUGUGCUAAACAUACAUUAAAACUCCACUUUUUUUCCUGAAAUGUAAAUUUGGCAUCUUCCUUGGUGAACAAACUAAGUUACAUGCUAUAUGGUGGCACGUGAGUGAAGAGUCCUCUUGGUGUGCUGCGUACAUAGGGACCAUGGAUCCUGCAGACCCUGUUGGAGAAUACAUCACUGAUCCCAAACCCCAUUUGCUGGUGGUACCAAGGCUCUGAUCUUAUCGCCCUCUCUGGCUGGGUGGUUUUGGGAAGGGACUAGAGCCCCCAGAGAAAGGCCUCAGAGAAGCAGAGACUAACUCAUCAGCAAUAAUAGAUGCCGGCAUGCUGUAUGAAACACCUACAACCUGAGAUUAUUUCAGUGACUGCCUGUCUUCCUUUUUCAUUCUGUUUCUCUCCACGAUAACUUUUGCUCUGAACUUUGUGCCACCGCACAGAGUACAGGUCAGCUAAGAACAGACUACCAGUUUAUACAUGACUUCAGUUCUAUUCUAGGAAGCAAAGGCCAUACGGAUAGUCUAGAGUAAGUGAAGAAGGCCCAAAGAAAGCAGAAAUCAAGUAGGUAUAUUGAUGUUGAAGGGCCACUGCUAGAAGGUAGCGAUUGAUGCAGCAUAAAUGCCAAACGACUGUGUUCUUUGGUCUGGCCCAGACACGCAGCCAGAGCCCUAAACCUCGGAGGCCAUGCUGCAACCACACACAGUUACCCACACGCUCCGAGGCCUCUCUGUGCCAUUAAAGGUGGUUUCUUUGUAGUUUUCCUUAGCAUGGAUAAUAACUUGCUAGUGUGUUUGUUAUAUUGUUUUCCAAGCUGCCACAUGUUUUCUCUCUCUUGACCUUUAAUGGCAUUUACUGGAAAUACCUUCAUGUCCAACUGAAGUAAAAUUUCAUCAGAUUUAUUUCUAUUUAAGGACAUUACUUAUUCAGAAUGAUAAUAUAUUCCUUCUCUAUAUUCAUGCAUUAAUGUAACCACAUUAUUUUUCUUCCUCAUUUCUUUUAAUAGCAGGGAAAUAGUGAAUUCAGGGAAAAUUACUCUGCAUAAAAUGCCAUGAGUCUUUUCCCUGGGCCUGGAGAUAUGAAUUUUACAAGAUUCCCCUCUGAGGAGUCAACAGCCGGAGCUCAGUAAACAGGUGGGUUCAAUUGAGAGAAAUUGAAGAAAAUUUCCAAGACCACUCAGCUGAGAAAAGGUAGAAUCAGGGGCUGGCCCCGUGGCCCAGUGGUUAAGUUCGCGCGCUCAGCUGCAGGCGGCCCAGUGUUUCGUGGUUCGAAUCCUGGGCGCGGACAGGGCACUGCUCAUCAAACCACGCUGAGGCAGCAUCCCACAUGCCACAACUAGAAGGACCCACAACGAAGAACAUACAACUAUAUACGGGGUCUUUGGGGAGAAAAAGGAAAAAAAAAAUAAAAUCUUAAAAAAAAAAACCAGGGUAGAAUCCGUGUUUACACUCGUGUCUAUCUUACUCUGAAGCUCUUGUUCUUUCUUUCACACAAUACUGCCUCUGUCUUCACAUCUCCAUAGCGGGUGUCUGAGUUUAAGAGCUCAUAGUGAACAGAACCUGUUGAACACAGCUACUGCCUUUGUGACCACAAUGUGAUUAUUAA
ensembl:lncRNA